CUAUAAUGCAGUCGAGCGAACAGAUAAGGAGCUUGCUCCUUUGACGUUAGCGGCGGACGGGUGAGUAACACGUGGGUAACCUACCUAUAAGACUGGGAUAACUUCGGGAAACCGGAGCUAAUACCGGAUAAUAUUUCGAACCGCAUGGUUCGAUAGUGAAAGAUGGUUUUGCUAUCACUUAUAGAUGGACCCGCGCCGUAUUAGCUAGUUGGUAAGGUAACGGCUUACCAAGGCGACGAUACGUAGCCGACCUGAGAGGGUGAUCGGCCACACUGGAACUGAGACACGGUCCAGACUCCUACGGGAGGCAGCAGUAGGGAAUCUUCCGCAAUGGGCGAAAGCCUGACGGAGCAACGCCGCGUGAGUGAUGAAGGUCUUCGGAUCGUAAAACUCUGUUAUUAGGGAAGAACAUACGUGUAAGUAACUGUGCACGUCUUGACGGUACCUAAUCAGAAAGCCACGGCUAACUACGUGCCAGCAGCCGCGGUAAUACGUAGGUGGCAAGCGUUAUCCGGAAUUAUUGGGCGUAAAGCGCGCGUAGGCGGUUUUUUAAGUCUGAUGUGAAAGCCCACGGCUCAACCGUGGAGGGUCAUUGGAAACUGGAAAACUUGAGUGCAGAAGAGGAAAGUGGAAUUCCAUGUGUAGCGGUGAAAUGCGCAGAGAUAUGGAGGAACACCAGUGGCGAAGGCGACUUUCUGGUCUGUAACUGACGCUGAUGUGCGAAAGCGUGGGGAUCAAACAGGAUUAGAUACCCUGGUAGUCCACGCCGUAAACGAUGAGUGCUAAGUGUUA
rnacentral:rRNA from 2 species